CCUUCUCCUCUCCUCUCCUCUCUUCCUUUCCAUUGUAUCAUAUCCUAUCAUAUCUCCUCCCCUCCCCUUCCCUCCCAUUUCAUUUCAUUUCAUUCUUUAUUCCCUUCUUCUCCCGUCCUGUCCCAUCCCAUCCCAUCCCAUCCCAUCCCAUCCCAUCCCAUCCCACUCCACUCCACUCCACUCCACUCCACUCCAUUCCCUUCCAUUCCAUUCCAUUCCAUUCCAUUCCAUUCUAUUCUAUUCUAUUCUAUUCUAUUCUAUCUAAGACCUGUAGAUAGAAGCUAUACUAUUUUUGCAUUUUGGGGCCCCUUCUAAAACUUCCAAAAUCAUCCAACCCUAGUUGAGGAUUUCAGCAUUACAAAAACCCGAGAAGCCAAGUCCAGGGACCCCGUGAAAGGAGGCAGCGUGCGUUUGUCAGAAGCCAACACUGUGUCGGUUCUGCCUUAGCAGAGCAGGUCUGUAGCAGAGGUGGGUUUCAGCAGGUUCUGACCAGUUCUGGAGAACCGGUAGCAGGAAUUUUGAGUCAUUCGGAGAACCGGGAGUAAAAAUUCUGAUUGGCCCCGCCCCCAUCUAUUCUCUGCCUCACAAUUCCCAGCUGAUUGGGCGGAAAUGGGGAUUUUGCAGUAAACUUCCCCUGGAGUGGGCCCAUCUUUCCACAAUGCACCACAAUCAAAGAAUCAAAGAACAGAGUAAACAACUCAAGGAAGAAUGAAACAGCACCGUUCUAUGACCAGUCCAUCAAUACAACGCUAGGAAAAUGUUGGCUUACUAGCCCCGGCAUGUAUAUAUGGCAAGAAUAGGGUAUCGGACCCUGUUAGCUCUAUCUUGAUGCAUUCUACAUGCUAGAGACAAAGCCAUAAGUAAAUUGUAUAGUAAAUUGUAUUUCCAUAUAUUAGGGUUUGAAGAAUUGACUUACUGCAUGUGGUCCUCUAUAGUCUUAUUUCGUCAUAAGUAAAUUGAUAACUUUUGCUUCCAACUGAUCUUGGAAAUGUCAACAUGGACCUUUCCCCACCUCACCUUCCAAAAAUUCUCAAAUCAAAAUUUGAGAGAGGUUUUGAGGAAUUUCUUGACAAGAGCAACUUUUAGGAAGAUGAGCUAAAUUAAUU